AUUGAACGCUGGCGGCAUGGUUAAAGCAUGCAAGUCGAACGCGAACCACCUUCGGGUGGGGAAAGUGGCGAAAGGGCGAGGAAUACGAUCGAAUGUGCCCCGAGGUGGGGGAUAGCGUCGAGAAAUCGGCGGUAAUACCCCAUGUGCUCUACGGAGGAAAGGUUUACCGCCUUGGGAGCAGCGAUCGUCCUAUCAGGUAGUUGGUGGGGUAAUGGCCUACCAAGCCGAAGACGGGUAGCGGGUGUGAGAGCAUGACCCGCCGCAUCGGAACUGAGACACUGUCCGGACUCCUACGGGAGGCUGCAGCGACGAAUAUUCCGCAAUGGGCGAAAGCCUGACGGAGCAAUGCCGCGUGUGGGAUGAAGCGCCUUCGGCGUGUAAACCACUGUCAGGUCCUAGGACACUGACCAGGACCAGAGGAAGGGCCGGCUAACCUCGUG
rnacentral:rRNA from 1 species